AUACGGAGGAUGCAAGCGUUAUCCGGAUUUAUUGGGUUUAAAGGGUGCGUAGGCGGAUGAUUAAGCGUGAGGUGAAAUGCCACUGCUCAACAGUGGAACUGCCUCGCGAACUGGUUGUCUUGAAUGCUCCUGCCGUGGGAGGAAUGUGUGGUGUAGCGGUGAAAUGCAUAGAGAUCACACAGAACACCGAUUGCGAAGGCAUCUCCCGAAGGGGUGAUUGACGCUGAGGCACGAUAGCGACGAGAUCAAACAGGAUUAGAUACCCUGGUAGUCCACGCAGUAAACGAUGAUACCUAACAGCUAAGUCGUAGUGAUUCAGUGGCCAAGCGAAAGCGAUAAGUUAUCCCCCUGGGGAGUACGGCCGCAAGGUUGAAACUCAAAUGAAGUGACGGGU
rnacentral:rRNA from 1 species